GGGGUCGUGGCUCAGUGGUAGAGCACUUGCCUAGCAUGUGUGAGGCCUUGGGUUCGAUCCCUGACACCA
rnacentral:tRNA from 1 species